rnacentral:rRNA from 1 species
AGUGAACGCUGGCGGUAGGCCUAACACAUGCAAGUCGAACGGCAGCACAGUAAGAGCUUGCUCUUACGGGUGGCGAGUGGCGGACGGGUGAGGAAUACAUCGGAAUCUACUUUUUCGUGGGGGAUAACGUAGGGAAACUUACGCUAAUACCGCAUACGACCUACGGGUGAAAGCAGGGGAUCUUCGGACCUUGCGCGAUUGAAUGAGCCGAUGUCGGAUUAGCUAGUUGGCGGGGUAAAGGCCCACCAAGGCGACGAUCCGUAGCUGGUCUGAGAGGAUGAUCAGCCACACUGGAACGGAGACACGGUCCAGACUCCUACGGGAGGCAGCAGUGGGGAAUAUUGGACAAUGGGCGCAAGCCUGAUCCAGCCAUACCGCGUGGGUGAAGAAGGCCUUCGGGUUGUAAAGCCCUUUUGUUGGGAAAGAAAAGCAGCAGGUUAAUACCCCGCUGUUCUGACGGUACCCAAAGAAUAAGCACCGGCUAACUU